rnacentral:sRNA from 1 species
AACAUGCUAUAAGCAUGAAAGUAGCGCUAUAUAAAAUCUAUAAUUUAUUUAUUGUGUAUACCGUGAUAGAAUAUUCCGCGAGACCUUGUGUGUUAGAUCUAGUAGCCACAAUAAUUUAAUCAUUUCUAGCUCAAACAGUUAUUUGAGCUAAAAAAUGUUAUUAAAAAUAUAUCAACCAAAUUUAUAACUAACAUUUAAAGAAUAAAAUAAGAGAAUGAAAGCAGCAGUAAUACUUAUAAGAUUAGAGUAAUCGAAUACAGUUUAAAAGAAAAGGAGCGAAUCUACAUGAAUUACAAUAAUCGAAUACAAAAUGUAAUUUACAAUAUAUUGCGGCAUAAACAAUCAAAACAAUGGCUUCAAUAUGCGUUGUAUGUACUACUAUACACUUACAUACAUACAUACAAUAAAUGAUUGUAAAAAAAAUACAGCAACAGGACAAAGUCAUGUUCUUCACAAUGGGUAUUUUACGUAUGGUGUCCGGGCAUGACUAUCACAUUGUGCUUAUCAGGCUGGAGACGAAGUUUUUAAAUGUCAGGAAAUAAAAGAUGGCGAAAAAGAAAACGACAGGAAGAUACUAACGGUAGAGUCGUGUAGGACAUUGAAGGUAGGGUCGUGUAGGACAUUGAAGGUAGGGUCGUGUAGGACAUUGAAGGUAGAGCCGUGUAGGACAUUGAAGGUAGAGUCGUGUAGGACAUUGAAGGUAGAGUCGUGUAGGACAUUGAAGGUUGAGUCGUGUAGGACAUCGAAGGUAGAGUCGUGUUGGACAUUGAAGGUAGAGUCGUGUAGGACAUUGAAGGUAGGGUCGUGUAGGACAUUGAAGGUAGGGUCGCGUAGGACAUUGAAGGUAGAGUCGUGUAGGACAUUGAAGGUAGGGUCGUGUAGGACAUUGAAGGUAGGGUCGCGUAGGACAUUGAAGGUAGAGUCGUGUAGGACAUUGAAGGUAGGGUCGCGUAGGACAUUGAAGGUAGAGUCGCGUAGAACAUUGAAGGUAGGGUCGUGUAGGACAUUGAAGUUAGAUUAGUGUAGGACAUUGAAGGUAGAGUCGUGUAGGACAUCGAAAGUGAAAGUAGACAAGCCAGAAAACGUAUCUCUUUCAUUUAACUCUCUAUAGUUAAACAAAAACAACAUUUUCCCUAAUAAAUCGAAAGUCUGUUAUAUAAGUUUCGACCGUUCCUCCCUUACAUUUCAAAUCCCCCCUCA